rnacentral:misc_RNA from 1 species
AUGAGAAGUGGUGGAACCGCACCAACUUAUCACGAUCGAAAGGAGAACGUCAUCGGUGACACUAUUGCAGACAGAUUUGAGACUCGAAUCGGAGAGGAAGUCGAACAGCUGGACGGGGACACAUUUGAGCUGUUCCUCAAGAAUAUUCACGCGAAUCGAAUUUUUGCAGAACUAUCUGCCGGAGGAACCAUCAACAUCAUCUGCUACAGCUGCUGGUGAAGGGGAAUCGACAGAAAAUCAUAUCUCAAUAAUGGGUCUUGUCGAUGAGGCGAAAAAGCGUCUGAACGCGGAAAUCACCGAGCAGCAUAAUCGGAAUACGGCAAAUGCGAAAACUUCCGUCAAAUUCGACGAGGUUAUCGAUUUCAUCGAUGAUGGCGAGGAAGUGAUCGAAAAACCACCACCGCCGGCCGUUCGUGUCAUCACAAAACCACCACACAAUAUGACAUUGCCAAUUUGUGGAAAUCCUGUCACUGAUUAUGAUAAAAUCAAUGAAAUGAAUGGACUUGACGGCGAGAAUCACAUGUUCAAACCGGAGCAACUGCUGGAUCCAUUUUCACGAAUGGAAAUGGGACAAAUGGCACAAGCGGUCGACGAUCUUGAUUUGGAAAAAGUGGAGAAAAGUCAGAAGAAUUACAAGUGUAAUGAGCAAGAACAACUCGAUUGGCUCAUGGAGAGACGGCUCAUUGAAUUCAAAAAAUAUAAUGUUCUGGGACCAGCAUCAAAAGGCGAAUUCUCGGCAUUCAUGGAAAGCCUAUCGACACCAGUUAUCUCAUGUGAUGUGGGUGUCACGAAUCCUCUCUCCGCUCCAAAUUAUUCAACAUUUCAAUGCCUGACACCAAAUGGUCGACUACUUCCAGCAGUUCCACGAAAGUAUCCAUCACAAUCAGAGCCACCACCGAGAAGCCGUCCGGCUCCACAGAAGCCUCCGAUUACGAUAAUGCUUCAGUCGAACUCACGGCUCACGGCCAAUAAUACAAUUACUCCACCAUCGUCAGCUUCAACAUCGCCUCCGCCACCGGAUCCGGAAAAUCAGAAGAAGAAGAAGAAGCUCAAAAAGGCUGAUGAGUCUGAAGAUCACGAAGAAGCCGAGGAGGAAGAGGAUAAGGAAAAUGAGAUUAGUGUCGAGGAACGAGAGGCUCGACGUGCGAAAAAUCGAAAAAUACGGGAGAAAAAGGCCAGAAAGAAGGCCGCUCAGGAGGCCAGACAGGCUGCCGAGGAGGCCCGGCAGGCCGAACAUUUGCAACGAGAGGAGAGGAUUCUGGCGAACAGCGUUGUGAGGAUGGCCUUGCAAGAAGGGCUACCACCACCACAAGAGGAAUCGCCGAAAAAUCGUCCAAAUGGCCGCCGAUCGAUUGGAACACAGGGUGGAAAGCAUAAGAAGAAUGAGAAAGGUGUCAGUCAGGAGUAUACUGUCAAGGAAAAUGGACGAAGGUUUUUAGAUAUGUCUGAUCUCUAUUGUAGUGGAGAGGAUUCACAAAAUCUGUCGAAGAUCCUGAAAGAUCUUGGGAUCAACGAUAUCUCGGAGCUGAGCGAGAAUCCGGGUAAAAAGAACAAAAAAGGAGUGGCGGGAGCUGCUGGUUCAGGAAAGAAGAACAGUAAGCAGCAACAAGUGAAGCGGGAGCAACCACAAAAAGAAGUUGCACGAGCACCGCCUGCCGACAACGAACCGAUUGUAGCAGAAGAGGAAGAGGAGAAGAGUGAUAAGAAAAUGGAUGAGGUUGCCGUCGCUGCCUCUAUCACUUCCAGAAAACGUUCAUCAUCUGGUGCCGCACAACAAUCAGAAGAGGACGACGAUCAAUCAUACGUAUCGGCACAGGAAAAUCUUGGAGGAUCCAACAGUCGUCUUUCUACACCACCGACCGAAUUCGCAGACGCCCGUCAAUCUCGUGAUGAAGCGAUUGAGAAUGUGAUGGCUGAUCCGAAUAACUACAGAGAUGACGAUGAUGUGGAAACACUUGCAAAACAGUUACAACAGGAAGAAGACGAGUUUAUCACAGUUGGAAAGAAUCGAAAAAAGAAUAAGAAGCAAUCGUCUGUACAGGAUAAUGGAUCAUCUUCAUCGUCGGCUUCAUCUUCAGCUUCACCAUCCAAUCGUCGUAAUACACUUCCAGAUGCUCGUGCUUCAUCUGCAAUUGGAUAUGCUUCAUCAUCAUCUACUGCAACACCGGCAACUCCUCAGUCUCAGCAACAACAGCAUUUCCAGAGAAAUCGCCCGGCUGCUCAUUCGACAACUCUUGCCGAUUUCAUUGAUUCCACCAAAAAGGAGACACAUAAGAAUGUGAAGCACAAGAAGAUUAGUGCCGGAGCCGGAGCACACCACAAGAAGCAUGAAUCGAUGGAAGAGCCCGUCUUUUUGGAUGCUCCUGAGACAAUUUCUGUUAAUACGGCGCCAGGAUUCUCGUACGCGGACGCUGCGAAGAAGACAUCAGGAGAAAAUUCACCAGAAAUGUCUCCAAUUCCACCACCACCACCAGCAUCCACAGCUUCUGCUGAGCCAAUUGUUGAGAAGAAGCCGUUGAGAGAAGGUUCCAGUGGAGGAGCUGUACAGCUUCCACCGUCGACUCUUGCCGCUUCGGAUAUUUCGUUUGGAUAUGAGGAGACGCCAGAAGACAAACGAAAGCGUCUUCAAAAGGAAUCAAAAAGUGUCACAUCUCCACCACCACCAACACAAAAAGCUCCUCCGCCGCCGCCAACUCGAAUGAACGGUGACGAUUUGUUGAGAUCAUUCACCACACAAGAUGGAAAUGGUGGAAAUCGUCUUGCCGGACUUCAGGAAAUGCCAAAAACUUGGUCAAGUGAAUCAAAUGUUCUUGGAACAGAGAUACUUGCCAAUUGGAAACCUCAAUGGGAAAAAUUUAUGAAUACUGGAGCCAAGCCCAUCACAUUCGUCCCAAAGAAGAAAUAA